AGUACCAGACAUGCCGCCCUC
rnacentral:miRNA from 1 species